CGCACCUUGCGCUCCUUGGUAUUCCGAGGAGCAUGCCUGUUUGAGUGUCAGUAAAUUCUCAAUCCCCACUAGCUUUUGCGGUUGGGGUUUGGAUAGUGGAGGUAUUUGCAGGCCCUUUUGAAAGGUGUCAGCUCCUCUGAAAUGUAUUAGCGGAACCGUUUGCAAUCCGUUACAGGUGUGAUAAUUAUCUACACCCAGUGGGUUGCUCUCUGAUUGUUCAGCUUCCAACCGUCCUCAUUGUAGGACAACUACUGAACCUUUGACCUCAAAUCAGGUAGGACUACCCGCUGAACUUAA
rnacentral:misc_RNA from 1 species